AACGUCGAAAGCAGCCGUUGGGAGCCCAGGAGGCGGGGCGCCUGUGGGAGCCGUGGAGGGAACUUUCCCAGUCCCCGAGGCGGAUCCGGUGUUGCAUCCUUGGAGCGAGCUGAGAGCUCGAGGUGAGCUGGGCUCGCGGUCGCCCCUCUCGCGCGCCCUCUUUAAGAACCACGGCGUCCAACCUCCCUGGAAAUGGGGGGAACAUGGCCGAGGCGCGUGGCGAGGCCGCCUCGUGGAGGCCCCGGAGCGGCAUCCUCAGCGCCCCAGCGAUCCGGUGCCCAUUAGGUGCGCCUUGAAGCCGAGAACCUGCUAAGGCCAUCAAACCUAUUGAUCGGAAGUCAGUCCAUCAGAUUUGCUCUGGGCCGGUGGUACCGAGUCUAAGCACUGCGGUGAAGGAGUUAGUAGAAAACAGUCUGGAUGCUGGUGCCACUAAUAUUGAUCUAAAGCUUAAGGACUAUGGAGUGGAUCUCAUUGAAGUUUCAGGCAAUGGAUGUGGGGUAGAAGAAGAAAACUUCGAAGGCUUAACUCUGAAACAUCACACAUCUAAGAUUCAAGAGUUUGCCGACCUACCUCAGGUUGAAACUUUUGGCUUUCGGGGGGAAGCUCUGAGCUCACUUUGUGCACUGAGGUGAUAAAAUAUUUUUAUCCAUUCACUUGACCCCUUAGAAAAACCUCUCUGAAAAUUAAUUGGAAUCAUUAUUAUUUACAGUUUUCUGUCUCAAUAUCUCAGCUUCCAGCUUCUGAAUUCUGUUUUGUCUCACUGCCAAUCUAAGUCCUAGUACUUCUGAAAUGUGAGCAAUAAAUGAAUGAAAUGAAGCAAA
rnacentral:lncRNA from 1 species